UGCCAGCCGCCGCGGUAAUACGUAUGGUGCAAGCGUUGUUCGGAAUUACUGGGCGUAAAGCGCGCGCAGGCGGACUAUUAAGUCAGAUGUGAAAUCUCCGGGCUCAACCCGGAAGCUGCAUCUGAUACUGGUAAUCUAGAGUCCCGGAGAGGCAGGCGGAAUUCUCGGUGUAGCGGUGAAAUGCGUAGAUAUCGGGAAGAACACCAGUGGCGAAGGCGGCUACCUGGUCCGGAUCUGACGCUGAGGCGCGAAAGCGUGGGGAGCAAACAGGAUUAGAUA
rnacentral:rRNA from 1 species